UACAGAGGUCCCGAGCGUUGUUCGGAUUCACUGGGCGUAAAGGGUGCGUAGGCGGUUCUGUAAGUCUGAUGUGAAAUCUCCAGGCCCAACCUGGAAACUGCAUUAGAAACUACAGGGCUAGAGGCUUGGAGGGGGAACUGGAAUUCUCGGUGUAGCAGUGAAAUGCGUAGAGAUCGAGAGGAACACCAGUGGCGAAGGCGAGUUCCCGGACAAGUCCUGACGCUGAGGCACGAAAGCCAGGGGAGCAAACAGG
rnacentral:rRNA from 1 species